rnacentral:rRNA from 1 species
CUACGGGAGGCAGCAGUGAGGAAUUUUGCGCAAUGGGCGAAAGCCUGACGCAGCAACGCCGCGUGAGUGAAGAAGGCCUUUGGGUCGUAAAGCUCUGUCGUCAGGGAAGAAGUUAUCAUGAUUUAACAGAUUGUGUUAUUGACGGUACCUGAGAAGGAAGCAUCGGCUAACUCCGUGCCAGCAGCCGCGGUAAUACGGGGGAUGCAAGCGUUAUUCGGAAUUAUUGGGCGUAAAGGGCGCGUAGGCUGUCCUGACAGUCAGAUGUGAAAGCCCGGGGCUUAACCCCGGAAGAGCAUUUGAAACCUCAGGACUUGAGUACGGUAGAGGAAAGCGGAAUUCCUGGUGUAGAGGUGAAAUUCGUAGAUAUCAGGAGGAACACCGGUGGCGAAGGCGGCUUUCUGGACCUGUACUGACGCUGAGGCGCGAAGGCGUGGGUAGCGAACGGGAUUAGAUACCCUUGUAGUC